rnacentral:RNase_P_RNA from 3 species
AGAGCGGGCCGGGCGGCCGCCGGAUGUUUCGGCAUCCGGAGGAAAGUCCGGGCAGGACAGGACACGGUGACGGCUAACAGCCGCCCGGGGCGACCCGCGGGAAAGUGCCGCAGAAAAUACACAGCCGAUGGCCCUUACGGGCACAGGCAAUGGUGAAAUGGUGCGGUAAGAGCGCACCGCGAAUCCGGCAACGGGUUCGGCACGGCAAACCCCACCGCCUGCAAGACCAAGCAUGCCGGUGCCUUCGUCCGGGCAAUACCGGCGGGUAGGUCGCUUGCCAUAAAAGCAGAGCCGGCCGGCAACGGUCGGUCAAGUUAGAUGGCCGCCAGAUACAGAACCCGGCUUACAGGCCCGCUCUCAUU